rnacentral:lncRNA from 1 species
CGGCUGCCUACAAGCCUACAGUGAUGGAGUGCGACACAGGUGGAACUGUACUGCAAUGUCACCCUUUCACGCUCUCCUCCUCAGGGAUUGUUCCUACAGCAGCUCCUUACUGCUCUGACGCUUUCUUGUCUCCACUCUGUAACCGACCAUUGUGUGUCUAGCUGCAUCAACUGCAUCACCAUUUUCCUCUGCAGGAAUGCCAUUUUCCUCCACAGAGCCCAUUCCAGCACCUUCUGCUCAUGUCUCUCUAAACUGCAUGUGCUGCAUGGUAAUCUUUCCUUUCAUGACAUGGCUUAGUCUCACAGACAGCUGAAUGUUAGCACCUCUGUUUGGAAGCCCUAGGGGAUUAUCCAGUCCCCAGUGUCCAUUCUUAAUGUGUCCUUACUUUCUCCAAUCCUAGCUGUGACUGUUGAAAAGGCGAGUGCCAUGGGCGAUGCGAAUUCCCGGAGCCGCUCUGCGCCACCUUGUGCGAGUCCCACCGUGGGUGUUGUUAAGAUGACGCCUCUUUCUUUCAUCCCUGGAGCAAAGAUAACGAAGUACCUGGGCAUCAUUAACAUGUUUUUUAUUAGAGAGACCACUUCCCUCCGUGAGGAAGGCGGAGUCAGUGGCUUUCUCCACGCUUUCAUUGCUGAAGUGUUUGCUAUGGUCCGAGCUCACGUGGCCGCGCUGGGAGGGAAUGCUGUUGUCUCCUACAUUAUGAAGCAGUGUGUCUUCAUGGAGAAUCCCAGUAAGAACCAGGCACAGUGUCUCAUAAACGUCAGUGGGGACGCAGUGGUUUUUGUUCGUGACUCUGACUUAGAAGUCACAUCUCAGCAGCCUGCUGC